AUGCCUGUGCUGCGUAGUGCGGCUCGGAGGGCCCGUGAGGCGCAGGAGAAUCCGGCGGCGGCGGCGGCGGCGGAGGCACCGGUUGUGCCACCGGCGACGAGGAGGCGCAGGGCGGCGAGAAGGCAGAAGGCGGGAGGCGUCCGUGAGGCCGCGGUACCGGAGGAAGAGAGGGCGGCGGCGGAGGAGAUCGCGCCCGCGGAGGUCUCAGGGGAACACGCCGGUGAGGAGCCGAUGGAUGACCAGGACAGCGCCGACAAACAGGCCGGCGAGGAUGCCUCUCCAAUCCCCGAGACGGUCCAGGUGGCCAGUUCACCUAGGUAUAAAGUUGAAAGGAAGCUUGGGAAAGGAGGAUUUGGCCAGGUAUACGUUGGCCGCCGCAUUUCAGCUAAUGCUCCAGGCGCAGUUGAGGUGGCGUUAAAGUUUGAGCAUAAGAACAGCAAAGGAUGUAACCAUGGGCCUCCUUAUGAGUGGCAGGUUUAUGAUAUCCUCGGUGGCAUUCAUGGGGUUCCUCGAGUCCACUACAAAGGCCGCCAAGGGGAUUACUUCAUUAUGGUUAUGGAUAUGCUAGGUCUCAGUCUGUGGGAUGCAUGUAGUAAUAAUUCCCACACAAUGUCAGUUGAGAUGGUUGCUUGCAUUGCUAUCGAAGCUAUCUCCAUACUUGAGAAAGUGCACUCAAAAGGAUAUGUCCACGGGGAUGUGAAACCCGAGAAUUUCUUGCUAGGACCUCCUGGAACUCCUGAAGAGAAAAAACUGUUUCUUGUCGACCUUGGCUUAGCCACCAAGUGGAAGGAUAGAUCGACAGGCCAUCAUGUUGAGUAUGAUCAGCGACCUGAUAUUUUCAGGGGAACAGUUCGUUAUGCUAGUGUUCAUGCACAUCUGGGGAGGAUAGGCAGCAGGAGGGAUGAUUUAGAAUCUCUGGCUUAUACACUAGUCUUUCUUCUACGGGGACGUCUACCUUGGCAAGGCUACCAGGGUGAAAACAAGGGUUUUCUUGUUUGCAAAAAGAAGAUGUGCACCUCUCCAGAAUCUCUCUGUAGCUUCUGCCCUCAGCCCUUUAAGGAGUUUGUAGAAUAUGUGGUCAACUUGAAGUUUGAUGAAGAACCCAACUAUGCCAAGUGUAUCUCCCUUUUUGAUAGUAUAGUGGGCCCAAAUCCAGAUAUCAGGCCAAUUAACACAGAUGGUGCUCAGAAGCUUAUACACCAAGUUGGCCAAAAGAGAGGGCGCAUAUCGUUGGAAGGAGAGACAGAUGAGCAACCAAAGAAGAAGAUCAGGAUGGGAAUGCCUGCAACACAGUGGAUAAGUGUUUAUAAUGCAAGGCGGCCUAUGAAACAAAGGUAUCACUACAAUGUUGCAGAUUCAAGGCUUGUACAACACAUUGACAAAGGGAAUGAAGAUGGACUGUUUAUUAGUUGCAUAUCAUCUUGUGCAAAUCUGUGGGCACUAAUCAUGGAUGCUGGCACUGGGUUCUCUUCUCAAGUUUAUGAACUUUCACCACAUUUUCUUCACAAAGAAUGGAUAAUGGACCAAUGGGAUAGGAACUACUAUAUAACUGCACUUGCUGGAGCAAACAAUGGGAGUUCCCUGGUAGUGAUGUCCAAAGGAACACUGUAUACUCAGCAGUCCUACAAAGUAAGUGAUACCUUUCCCUUUAAGUGGAUAAACAAGAAAUGGCGUGAUGGUUUCUAUGUGACUUCCAUGGCAACUGCGGGGAAUAAGUGGGCGAUUGUUAUGUCUCGCAAUGCAGGGUUUUCCGAACAGGUUGUUGAGCUGGACUUCUUGUACCCUAGUGAGGGAGUCCAUAAGAGGUGGGACUGUGGUUACCGGAUAACAGCAGUUGCUGCGACUUGGGAUCAGACUGCAUUGAUCUUAAGUGUACCAAGAAGGAAGCCUACCGAUGAAACCCAAGAGACGCUGAGAACAUCUGCUUUCCCCAGUCAGCAUGUGAAGGAGAAAUGGUCCAAGAAUCUCUACCUUGCUUCAGUAUGUUAUGGGCGUACCGUAUCGUAG
rnacentral:rRNA from 1 species